GACGAACGCUGGCGGCAUGCCUAAUACAUGCAAGUCGAGCGAACAGAUGAAGUGCUUGCACUUCUGACGUUAGCGGCGAACGGGUGAGUAACACGUAAGGAAUCUACCUAUAAGCGGGGGAUAACAUUCGGAAACGGGUGCUAAUACCGCAUAAUAUCUUCUUCCGCAUGGAAGAAGAUUGAAAGACGGCUCUGCUGUCACUUAUAGAUGACCUUGCGGUGCAUUAGUUAGUUGGUGGGGUAACGGCCUACCAAGACGAUGAUGCAUAGCCGACCUGAGAGGGUGAUCGGCCACAUUGGGACUGAGACACGGCCCAAACUCCUACGGGAGGCAGCAGUAGGGAAUCUUCCGCAAUGGGCGAAAGCCUGACGGAGCAAUGCCGCGUGAGUGAAGAAGGCCUUCGGGUCGUAAAACUCUGUUAUAAGAGAAGAACAAAUUGUAGAGUAACUGCUACAGUCGUGACGGUAUCUUAUCAGAAAGCCACGGCUAACUACGUG
rnacentral:rRNA from 1 species